rnacentral:rRNA from 1 species
UACGAGGGGGGCGAGCGUUGUUCGGAAUUAUUGGGCGUAAAGGGCGCGUAGGCGGUCUGAUAAGUCUGAUGUGAAAUCUCUGGGCUCAACCCAGAGUCUGCAUUAGAAACUGUCGGGCUUGAGUAUGGGAGGGGUGCGUGGAAUUUCCGGUGUAGCGGUGAAAUGCGUAGAUAUCGGAAGGAACACCUGUGGCGAAAGCGGCGCACUGGACCAAAACUGACGCUGAGGCGCGAAAGCUAGGGGAGCAAACAGG